rnacentral:rRNA from 1 species
UAGGGAAUAUUAGACAAUGGGCGCAAGCCUGAUCCAGCAAUGCCGCGUGAGUGAAGAAGGCCUUAGGGUUGUAAAGCUCUUUCAAUGGGGAAGAUAAUGACGGUACCCAUAGAAGAAGCCCCGGCUAACUCCGUGCCAGCAGCCGCGGUAAUGCGGAGGGGGCUAGCGUUAUUCGGAAUUACUGGGCGUAAAGAGCGCGUAGGCGGUUUAUUAAGUUGGAAGUGAAAGCCCAGGGCUUAACCUUGGAACUGCUUUCAAAACUGAUGAGCUAGAGAUUGAUAGGGGAUAGCGGAAUUCCUAGUGUAGAGGUGAAAUUCUUAGAUAUUAGGAGGAACACCGGAGGCGAAGGCGGCUAUCUGGAUCAACACUGACGCUGAGGCGCGAAAGCGUGGGGAGCAAACA